AUUGAACGCUGGCGGCAGGCCUAACACAUGCAAGUCGAGCGGAGCGGCGGACGGGUGAGUAAUGCCUAGGAAUCUGCCUGGUAGUGGGGGAUAACGUCCGGAAACGGGCGCUAAUACCGCAUACUAUCAGAUGAGCCUAGGUCGGAUUAGCUAGUUGGUGGGGUAAAGGCCUACCAAGGCGACGAUCCGUAACUAGUCUGAGAGGAAGGUCAGUCAGACGAAAACUUAUACACAGGGCAGAAUCGUACGGGAUGCAGCAAUUGGGAAUGUUGGACAAUGUUAGGAAUCGUGAUCGAGCCGUGCCGCAUAUGUGGAGAAGGAAUUCAGAUUGUAAAGCACUUUAAGUUGGGAUGCGUUACUAACAGAAUGAGCACCGGCUAACUUCGUGCCAGCAGCCGCGGUAAUAG
rnacentral:rRNA from 1 species